UGCAUUGAUGAGUUUGCUCAGACUAGAGUCUCUGACUUGUUCUGAUGUCUCUCCAAGCCCUGAGCA